GCACUGCGCCGCCCCAUUCCUGGUGAGGGGACCCCAAAAACGACCCUAAAAGGACCCUAAAAGGACCCUAAAUGGCCCUAAAUGGCCCUAUAUGGCUCUAAAUGGCCCUAAAAUGGACCCUAAAUGGACCCAAGUGGCCCCAAAAUGGACCCUAAAUGAACCCAAAGGCACUGCGCCGCCCCAUUCCUGGUGAGGGGACCCCAAAAACGACCCUAAAAGGACCCUAAAUGACCCUAAAUGGCCCUAAAUGGCCCUAAAUGGUCUUAAAUAACCCUAAAUGGCCCCAAAAAGGACCCUAAGUGAACCCAAAUGGCCCCAAAAUGGACCCUAAAUGAACCCAAAGGCACUGCGCCGCCCCAUUCCUGGUGAGGGGACCCCAAAAACGACCCCAAAAACGACCCUAAAAGGACCCUAAAUGACCCUAAAUGGCCCUAAAAUGGCCCUAAAUGGUCCUAAAUGGUCCUAAAAUGGAUCCUAAAUGGACCCGAAUGGGGACAAAAUGGGGACAAAAUGGACCCUAAAUGAACCCAAAGGCACUGCGCCGCCCCAUUCCUGGUGAGGGGACCCCAAAAACGACCCCAAAAACGACCCUAAAAGGACCCUAAAUGACCCUAAAUGGCCCUAAAAUGACCCUAAAUGGCACCAAAUGGCCCUAAAAUGGCCCUAAAUGGUCCUAAAUGGACUCUAAAUGGACCCGAAAUGAACCCAAAGGCACUGCGCCGCCCCAUUCCUGGUGAGGGGACCCCAAAAACGACCCCAAAAACGACCCUAAAAACGACCCUAAAUG
ensembl:lncRNA